rnacentral:lncRNA from 1 species
AUUUGCUUUCUCCUUUCUCUUGUUUUCUCUCUCUCUCUCUCUCUCUCUGUUUCUUUCUUUUGUUCGGAAUAAAAAAAUCGCAGUUAGGAGAAUCAAGAUUCUCCAGGUUAAAUCUUUAGCUGGUAAUUUAGCGGAUCGAAGAACGGGGUGCUGAUACGGACAUCCUUCACAGAUAACACACGCGGAAAAAAGCGGAGAGAGAAAAGGGUAGAAAAAAACAAAAAGAAGAAAAAUAGAGAAAGAUAGAAGAAGAAGAAAGAAACAAAAAUAAAGAGAAAGAAAUAUCAUCUCAACGUUUAAGAAGAAUGUGUGUCAGGACAUUCGAUACUCGACAUUUAUCUCUCGUGAUUGGACCAAGGAUACCUUAGAAGAGGGUUGCGGGUAUAUGUGUGUGUUUGUGUAUGCAUGUGUGCGAAA